UAUGAUUCUAGAUUAUCUCCAAGGUUCUUUUCCAACUGCAACUCUGAGGUGAUGUACUGAUUUUAGCUUCCUUCAAAGCACAACACAGAUCUGACCAUCAUCUCCGUAGACACAGCCUGGCCCUGCCAUGAUCGGAGCUCUCAUAAAAAGGAAGUCUGGUCUCUGAAAAUCAACCAAAAGUUGUGUGCAUUCUUUCAGCAAGAGAUCACCAGGUUUCUAAGAAAAGAUUUCAGGAUAUGAAGGUGAGUCACUCAAUAUUUUCAAUAUAAAUCAAAACAAGUCAACAGGCAUGUAUCAUGCACCUACUAUGUGCCAGGCACUGUUGUAAGCAUUAACUCUCCAAACAAGAAUUAACUAAUAUACAACUUCACAUUGUGAGUGAGAUGUUUUACAAGUCUUUAGGAACUAUAGCAAUAUGUUAUUAUUUUUGUCAUAGGAAGCCAG
rnacentral:lncRNA from 1 species